rnacentral:lncRNA from 1 species
AAAAAAAAUGACCAGAAAAACCUUAAAUGAUCGUCGAUUUAUCCAAAAGUUUUAAAGUUACACAAAGGAAGUAGUGCUUAUUAAAAAUCCUUGUGUAGUUCAUUAUGACUUGUGCUUUUAGCUAAGAUGUCAAAGAACAAUUGUAUGAAAUAUUUAAUCGCCGAAAAUUUCUUUAGACAAGCAGUUUAGAUUUCCUAAAUGACAAAAGUCGUAGGAAUAUUGUUUGUCAUCAAUACGUAGUACAACUACGUCAGUAGUCUAUUAUAUAAUUCAACUGUUCAUGCUGUUGGCGGCAAUUUCAAAUUAGAAAAGAAAUUUUCGUAGCUUUUCAAUUUGGAGGCAGGUGUGCAAAUUAGCGGUGGUCCGAGACCUUCCACUUUUCAAGCGGAAUUUCGACUAGGAUAGUUGGUUUCUAGCUACGCCCGAUGUAGUCGCCUUACAUUUGAAAGAAAAUAAGAAAUUACUUUGCAAACCUUUUCACCAUGUUCACCAAAGUCUCCAAUUAAACGAGCUUAAAACUUAUUUUUAUCAUUAUUAUUCAUGACGGCGAUGUUUAUUUUGUUCAACCGCUAGCUUUAUACAGAAAAUUGCCGACAAAUAUUGUAUAAAUUCGAGUAAAAUCGUAUCUGAUUGACAAAAAUAACAUUGUAAACACAUAACAAUGGCGGCCGUGAAGAAAUUUUUUUACAAAAUCGGAUCCGAUUCCGGAAGCGGAUAAGGGUAAUUCCGGGUUUGACGAUCAUUUACAAAAUAAAUCCAAGCAGGUGAAAAAAUACAUCUAUGCAUGGUAAAAUGAAUAUAAACACUAGUAUUGUAAACCAAAAGAUAUAUGUAAAAGAAAGAAAAAGCAGAAAAAUAGUUUAUUCAAAAACUAAAAAUUACUUUUUGAUAAAUUUUAAUUUAAAAAUCCAAUACAACGUGACAGCUGGGAACAGUAUAUCUAACAAUAUACAUGUUCAUGGUCUCAGUCUAAAUUUUCUUUAUAAAUGAUAAAUGAUGAUAAUGCGUGUGAGAUGCUUUUAAAGUGUAAACAUAUUACUGCAAUUUCGAGGGGCUAUUUGUUUUUUCUCAAUUUUGAAGGGUCAAUUAAGGUAGCUGAAAGUUUCAUUCUUUAUUUUCACAAAUAUUGCAACUAUAUUAUAUAUACCUUAAUGUAAGUAAAUCAUAUGAUAUAUAGGUGGCAUUCUUUAGGCCACUCUACCCCCUCCUGUUUGAUAAUUUGGAACAAUGGCGGAUCCAGCCAUUUUAAAAAAGGGGGGUUCCCAAACCAGAGUAAAGGGGGG